rnacentral:rRNA from 1 species
AUUGAACGCUGGCGGCAGGCUUAACACAUGCAAGUCGAACGAGUGGCGGACGGGUGAGUAAUGCUUGGGAAUCUGGCUUAUGGAGGGGGAUAACUACGGGAAACUGUAGCUAAUACCGCAUACCAUAGGAUGAGCCCAAGGGGGAUUAGGUAGUUGGUGAGGUAAAGGCUCACCAAGGCGACGAUCCCUAGCUGGUCUGAGAGGAUGCACCGCCCCCCUGGGACUGGGACACGGCCCCGACCCCCUCGGGAGGGAGCAGUGGGGAAUAUUGCGCAAUGGGGGCAACCUGACGCAGCCCAGGCGCGUGAUUUAAGGAUGCCUUCCGGUUGUAAAGCUCUGUUAAUCGGGAGACGGUACCGGAAUAGAAAGCCACGGCUAACUCCGUGCCAGCAGCCGCGGUAAUAC